UACUUACUGUACGUGUGUGUCACUUGAUGACCACUCUGAAGAGAGUAAAAUGUACAGUGGUUCUCUAGUGGCUCAAGUGUUGUAAUGUAGAGUGAUAGUC
rnacentral:pre_miRNA from 1 species